UGCUUACCAAUGAUGUCCUCAAAUAAAUGUCUGAACAAAUGAGAUAACAGUGAUAUCGAUUUUUAUACUGAGGUAAGCC